AGCUUGCUCACUGCAGAGGAAGACGUGUCCAUCAGACCUGAGCCCAAGGCCAUUUCUCACAGGACCUAAGUCAACUACUGGCCCAGCUAACACUCAGAAAACUCAGAGACCAACACCAUUUUCACAGAGAAGACCCAGCAAGGGAGUGGCUAGACCAUGCUUUCAUCACUAGCAACGCUGGGCCUCUAGCUCAUCAGCCUAGGUGUGAAAUCCCCCAGCAGGGACCUCCAGGCCCACACCUGAACAGGACACUGACGAGGGCAGCGCAUGACAGGGAAAGAUGGAGGAAACACAAGUGAGAAAGAGCUCAAGGGGUUCCUGGAAGACCUUUGCGGACAACUUUACACUGAGGCUGAACUGAUUCAGAAUUCUAAGCCAAAGGGCACAAAGACUCAGAACUUGACUGGAUUUUAGAAUUUCAACUUUUCAAUUCCUACCAAUUCGGGAAUCUACAAUUCUGCAAGAGAGUUGGAUAAAUAACCACCGCAUGUUGCCAACCCAAAGGCUCAAGAAAUCCCCAUGUGGGAGCUCACUGGCUUCUCUGCUUGGCCAAGUCACACGCAUGCUGGAGGGGCCCAGGGUCUGGACUGGGGCUGUGUGAACAGGUCCCACAGCAUCCCCACUCAGAAUCACCACCUGGUGAUUCAAACAGCCCUAACAAUGACAGGGCAUCAUACCUGUGGUCAGAACCCAGUGUGGAUUCCUAGAAGAAGAGCGCUUUUUUCAGGAACACAGAUCUGAUUUUCAGAGAUAGCUGAGAAAGGGAACAUAUCGAAGGCCUUAAGGAAGGUCAGGAGCAGGACCAGUGGGACCUGAGGUAAAAUGGAUCAGGAAAGGUUGGGGCUACAGGGCCUGCUCACCCCAGGAGGAGUGCAAGUGGAUCCUCCCAGCAAGAAGUGGGAAUGUUACAGCAAUUUUAGGUUUAUUGGAGGCAAAGAAAUAGUGGCACUCAGAGAAGUGGAGGAAACCAAGCUUUAUUACUCAGACAGACUCAGAAGAGCUAUGUACUCCAAAGUGUGAGCUCCGAAGUGUGUAGGAAGUUACUUUUAUACUGUGUAUCAGGCAGGAUGGAGAUCUUUUGUGAACUAGAGGAACUUCACAAACAUGGGAACAAACUAGAAACAGAAACAGGCCAGGUACAGCUUGUGCCUCUGGUACAAGUUUGUUUGCAGAAGUGGAAGAAACACUGCAAACUAUUGAUAUAUCAGGGUUUUGAAACAUUUUGAACACAAAAAUUCUUCUACAGGAAGAGGUUUGGUUCUCCCUGCAGUCAGAAGAACACAGGCCUAGGCAGCCUCUUGGUGUCAUUGCCACAUCUGGGUGAGAAGUGAAGCUGCUCUGGACAGGAGCUGUGAGUGUUUCCUGCUGUGAUUGCUGCGGGAGCCACGCUGCCCCGUCAUCUCACUCCCCUGCUCACUGAAAGGUCACUACGCCACAGCACAUGGGGGAAGCUGCCAAAGCCUGGAGGAAACUGGGUCAAGUGCUUCAGGAAAAAAGGGAUUUCCAAUCGGGUUCUUCCUUGUCCUGAAAAUAGAGGUGUGGGGGGGGGGGGCAUAGCCCAGGUAGAUUCCCUGGGCUGGACCACACACACACACACACACAC